rnacentral:rRNA from 1 species
AGUGAACGCUGGCGGUAGGCCUAACACAUGCAAGUCGAACGGCAGCAUAGUAAGAGCUUGCUCUUACGGGUGGCGAGUGGCGGAUGGGUGAGGAAUACCUCGGAAUCUACUUUUUAGUGGGGGAUAACGUAGGGAAACUUACGCUAAUACCGCAUACGACCUACGGGUGAAAGCAGGGGAUCUUCGGACCUUGCGCGAUUGAAUGAGCCGAUGUCGGAUUAGCUAGUUGGCGGGGUACAGGCCCACCAAGGCGACGAUCCGUAGCUGGUCUGAGAGGAUGAUCAGCCACACUGGAACUGAGACACGGUCCAGACUCCUACGGGAGGCAGCAGUGGGGAAUAUUGGACAAUGGGCGCAAGCCUGAUCCAGCCAUACCGCGUGGGUGAAGAAGGUCUUCGGGUUGUAAAGCCCUUUUAUUUGGGAAGAAGAGCAGCAAGUUAAUACCCUGCUGUUCUGACGGUACCCAAAGAAUAAGCACCGGCUAACUUCGUG